GAAAGUGAAGGGGGAGACUCCGAUCGCAUACAGGAGCCCUGGAACUUCUCAGAAAACUAGGUCUCCGCCCACGCAGCCUUGGCGUACUCAGCCUCCGCGUUUAGGAUCUUGCGCCAUGCGAGCCGGAGACGGCUGCUGCCUGAUGCUUUGUCUCUGAAGUCUGGUCUCUAUGCCACCGGUCCCAAGCCAAGAUGAUUCCAGCUUCCUGGAAUUCCAUUCAUCUCUUUGGGAAGGGACGUCAGCAGCAAUGCUUCGCCAGCUGUGGCCCUGCGUGAAAAGCUUGGCUCUGAGUCCAGGGACCUAGGACUCCAAAUCGACACUUGUCAAAGAUGUUUACUCAGCAGCAGUCCUUGUCACGCUGAUCUCUGGAGUCUCUGAAGACAGGAAGGAGCAAAGGAGAUGCAGCACACACAUACAGUGUCAUUUCCUUCAGCCACAAAGAAGAACAAAGUUGCAUCACUUAUAGCAACAUGGAUGCAACCAGGAGAAGCCUGACUGAAAAGAUUCCAACUAUGAGACCCUCACAACAGCUGUGACUUUGGAGUGAAGAACGACUUCCUAAGAAAACAAUGAGGGUCAGAAGAAUAAGACAAGAAAAUACAAAGAGAGACCUGGCCAUCUCUUGGAUUUCAUGAACGUUUCUGAAGACUGACUAUGCCAGAGACCCCACCAUCGCUUGGAUUUCAUGAACGUUUCUGAAGACUGACUAUGCCGUGGAGAUUGGCAUCUGAGUGACGCUGGUGGGAAGGCAUCACAUGCCGCAGAAACUUGUGGACGGACUCUAAAGCAGAGGCUGUGUGGACAAGUUCACGCUUCCUGUCUCCUAUGCCAGGUGUUCAGCCCUGGAGGUGCAGUGCCCAGUGCCAUGGCUUGCUGAACCCGAGAGCUUGCUCUGGGUUGGGUUGAGGCAUGAGUAGUCGUGAAAGAGCACAUCCGCCAUCACACGAGAGCCCCGAGCUUUACGGCCCCUCACAGGCCCAGAUUCCUUCCAAGGAGCCAAAGGGAGCUCUGUGAAGUUGUGCGAAGUUCACUGCUUGUCCGAAUCGAGUGGCUUCCCAUUCUCUUCCUUAUAUGUGUGUCAGGGCUGAGGUGACAAGGACACACUUGCCCCUCAUUAAAGGCACACAGCAGAAAGACAUCGCCGUGUGGUCUGUGGUCACUUUUCCGUGAAAUGAAAGAAUGACUAGCUUUACUCACGUGGGCAUUCCUGAUGCCCACUGACGGGAGGUCUAACCUGAAGAUGGACCAUCUGAGGCAGAACGUGAAAAAUCAUGUCAACCUGCAUGUGGGUGACAGAGGAGAAACCAAGUUGAAAUGCAGCUGAAAGACGCCAGUCUGAGGAGAUGUGUUACAGAUGUGUGGAGCACCAACACUUUGUUUAUUCCCACAUUUUGUGACAUUUAUUGUUUUAGAUGAUAAUUAGUGGGAUGAACUUUUAGGAGAAAGAGCUUUUAUUAACACUGGCCACUUCCUGUAGGGGAUACUGAGAUAAGAAAUCCAAUAACUACCCAUACAACAAAGGAUGCUCGUUCCUUAUUUUUGUAGACCUUAUAGGAGCCUCGGUCUAGAGAUAAGGCCUUAUAAUAGGGUGAAUGCACUGGAGGCUGCUACAAGCUAGGUGCAUAGCAGUAGAGUGGAAGACACAAGGCUGUAGCUCAGAGGUCACCCUGGACUUGGGAUAGGAGAGAAAGUGCAGAGGGCCCUGGAAAAUUCGCCUUGCCCUAGCAGCACAUUGCUUUGUUUUGAGUGUGUUAAGACCUUCAGUGUUCAAAGGGAACAUUCAUUUGACCUAAUGUUAAAUUCAUCAUAUGAUAUUUCUAGUGUAAAACAAACCCUUCUUCCUUGACUCUGCUUUUGGAGAAGGAGGAAUGAGAGAGAUUGAAGAGGGAGAGAGCUUCAGGAGCCUCCUGAAACCAUGACUAAGGUAGAAGUGUCGAGCAACAUUCAGUCUAAAAUGCCCACGCCUCCAGUCUUGUGCUUUCCUGCAUGUAUGAUAGGUACAAGAAUAUAUACGAUGCCUGUUGGAGAUUGGUUCUAAUGCUUUGUUUCAAUCGGGAAACUCUGUGUCCAAAAGCUAAAAGUCCUUGUCCCCAGUUGGUUUUUGAUUGAUUAAUAAAGAUGCCAAUGGCCGAUGAUUGGGCAAAGGGAGACAGCGUGGGACCCUUAGAGUUUCCCGAGCUAGGACACAGUGGAGAGGAGAAGGAGAAAUCACCACGAAGCAGUGGGAUCUGGAUGGAUGUAGGAGCUGCAGGAGAUAAAGCCAAUGAGUCAUGUAAGAAUCUGGGAAAGUGGCCACUGGCCGUUUCCCCAAUUGGGCCUGGGGUAGCAGGGGAAGGUUUAGG